GGUUAAGCGACUAAGCGUACACGGUGGAUGCCCUGGCAGUCAGAGGCGAUGAAGGACGUGCUAAUCUGCGAAAAGCGUCGGUAAGGUGAUAUGAACCGUUACAGCCGGCGAUGUCCGAAUGGGGAAACCCAGUGUGAUUCGUCACACUAUCGUUAACUGAAUACAUAGGUUAACGAGGCGAACCGGGGGAACUGAAACAUCUAAGUACCCCGAGGAAAAGAAAUCAACCGAGAUUCCCCCAGUAGCGGCGAGCGAACGGGGAGCAGCCCAGAGUCUGAAUCAGCUUGUGUGUUAGUGGAACGGUCUGGAAAGUCCGACGGUACAGGGUGAUAGUCCCGUACACCAAAAUGCACAGGCUGUGAACUCGAAGAGUAGGGCGGGACACGUGGUAUCCUGUCUGAAUAUGGGGGGACCAUCCUCCAAGGCUAAAUACUCCUGACUGACCGAUAGUGAACCAGUACCGUGAGGGAAAGGCGAAAAGAACCCCGGCGAGGGGAGUGAAAAAGAACCUGAAACCGUGUACGUACAAGCAGUGGGAGCACCUUCGGGUGUGACUGCGUACCUUUUGUAUAAUGGGUCAGCGACUUAUAUUCUGUAGCAAGGUUAACCGUAUAGGGGAGCCGCAGGGAAACCGAGUCUUAACUGGGCGUUAAGUUGCAGGGUAUAGACCCGAAACCCGGUGAUCUAGCCAUGGGCAGGUUGAAGGUUGGGUAACACUAACUGGAGGACCGAACCGACUAAUGUUGAAAAAUUAGCGGAUGACUUGUGGCUGGGGGUGAAAGGCCAAUCAAACCGGGAGAUAGCUGGUUCUCCCCGAAAGCUAUUUAGGUAGCGCCUCGUGAACUCAUCUUCGGGGGUAGAGCACUGUUUCGGCUAGGGGGUCAUCCCGACUUACCAACCCGAUGCAAACUACGAAUACCGAAGAAUGUUAUCACGGGAGACACACGGCGGGUGCUAACGUCCGUCGUGAAGAGGGAAACAACCCAGACCGCCAGCUAAGGUCCCAAAGUCAUGGUUAAGUGGGAAACGAUGUGGGAAGGCACAGACAGCCAGGAUGUUGGCUUAGAAGCAGCCAUCAUUUAAAGAAAGCGUAAUAGCUCACUGGUCGAGUCGGCCUGCGCGGAAGAUGUAACGGGGCUAAACCAUGCACCGAAGCUGCGGCAGCGACACUAUGUGUUGUUGGGUAGGGGAGCGUUCUGUAAGCCUGCGAAGGUGUGCUGUGAGGCAUGCUGGAGGUAUCAGAAGUGCGAAUGCUGACAUAAGUAACGAUAAAGCGGGUGAAAAGCCCGCUCGCCGGAAGACCAAGGGUUCCUGUCCAACGUUAAUCGGGGCAGGGUGAGUCGACCCCUAAGGCGAGGCCGAAAGGCGUAGUCGAUGGGAAACAGGUUAAUAUUCCUGUACUUGGUGUUACUGCGAAGGGGGGACGGAGAAGGCUAUGUUAGCCGGGCGACGGUUGUCCCGGUUUAAGCAUGUAGGCUGAUUGUCCAGGCAAAUCCGGAUAAUCAAGGCUGAGGUGUGAUGACGAGGCACUACGGUGCUGAAGUAACAAAUGCCCUGCUUCCAGGAAAAGCCUCUAAGCAUCAGGUAACAUCAAAUCGUACCCCAAACCGACACAGGUGGUCAGGUAGAGAAUACCAAGGCGCUUGAGAGAACUCGGGUGAAGGAACUAGGCAAAAUGGUGCCGUAACUUCGGGAGAAGGCACGCUGGUGUGUAGGUGAAGUCCCUGCGGAUGGAGCUGAGACCAGUCGAAGAUACCAGCUGGCUGCAACUGUUUAUUAAAAACACAGCACUGUGCAAACACGAAAGUGGACGUAUACGGUGUGACGCCUGCCCGGUGCCGGAAGGUUAAUUGAUGGGGUUAUCCGUAAGGAGAAGCUCUUGAUCGAAGCCCCGGUAAACGGCGGCCGUAACUAUAACGGUCCUAAGGUAGCGAAAUUCCUUGUCGGGUAAGUUCCGACCUGCACGAAUGGCGUAAUGAUGGCCAGGCUGUCUCCACCCGAGACUCAGUGAAAUUGAACUCGCUGUGAAGAUGCAGUGUACCCGCGGCAAGACGGAAAGACCCCGUGAACCUUUACUAUAGCUUGACACUGAACAUUGAGCCUUGAUGUGUAGGAUAGGUGGGAGGCUUUGAAGCGUGGACGCCAGUCUGCGUGGAGCCAACCUUGAAAUACCACCCUUUAAUGUUUGAUGUUCUAACGUUGGCCCCUGACCGGGGUUGCGGACAGUGUCUGGUGGGUAGUUUGACUGGGGCGGUCUCCUCCCAAAGCGUAACGGAGGAGCACGAAGGUUAGCUAAUCCUGGUCGGACAUCAGGAGGUUAGUGCAAUGGCAUAAGCUAGCUUGACUGCGAGCGUGACGGCGCGAGCAGGUGCGAAAGCAGGUCAUAGUGAUCCGGUGGUUCUGAAUGGAAGGGCCAUCGCUCAACGGAUAAAAGGUACUCCGGGGAUAACAGGCUGAUACCGCCCAAGAGUUCAUAUCGACGGCGGUGUUUGGCACCUCGAUGUCGGCUCAUCACAUCCUGGGGCUGAAGUAGGUCCCAAGGGUAUGGCUGUUCGCCAUUUAAAGUGGUACGCGAGCUGGGUUUAGAACGUCGUGAGACAGUUCGGUCCCUAUCUGCCGUGGGCGCUGGAGAAUUGAGGGGGGCUGCUCCUAGUACGAGAGGACCGGAGUGGACGCAUCACUGGUGUUCGGGUUGUCAUGCCAAUGGCACUGCCCGGUAGCUAAAUGCGGAAGAGAUAAGUGCUGAAAGCAUCUAAGCACGAAACUUGCCCCGAGAUGAGUUCUCCCUGAGACU
rnacentral:rRNA from 1 species